UUGAAACACUGGUUUCUGUAUGAUCACUGUAGAUAAACAAAGUUGAGCCUGGUCUGUACUUAGAUGAGUGACUGCUUGGGAAUACCAGUUGCUGUAAG